GUGGUAAUGCCGGAUGCUCCAGUUGAUCGCAUGGUCUUCUGGGAAAGCUUUCGCGGUAUGGGAUGGGGUCGCGUCCUAUCAGCUUGACGGCGGGGUAACGGCCCACCGUGGCUUCGACGGGUAGCCGGCCUGAGAGGGCGACCGGCCACAUUGGGACUGAGAUACGGCCCAGACUCCUACGGGAGGCAGCAGUGGGGAAUAUUGCACAAUGGGCGCAAGCCUGAUGCAGCGACGCCGCGUGAGGGAUGGAGGCCUUCGGGUUGUAAACCUCUUUUAUCGGGGAGCAAGCGAGAGUGAGUUUACCCGUUGAAUAAGCACCGGCUAACUACGUGCCAGCAGCCGCGGUAAUACGUAGGGUGCAAGCGUUAUCCGGAAUUAUUGGGCGUAAAGGGCUCGUAGGCGGUUCGUCGCGUCCGGUGUGAAAGUCCAUCGCUUAACGGUGGAUCCGCGCCGGGUACGGGCGGGCUUGAGUGCGGUAGGGGAGACUGGAAUUCUUUGUGUAACGGUGGAAUGUGUAGAUAUC
rnacentral:rRNA from 1 species